rnacentral:rRNA from 1 species
UAAGGAAUAUUGGACAAUGGAGGCAACUCUGAUCCAGCCAUGCCGCGUGAAGGAACAAGGCCCUAUGGGUUGUAAACUCCUUUUAGACGGGACAAAACCCCUUUACGUGUAAAGGGUUGAUGGUACUGUCAGAAUAAGCACCGGCUAACUUCGUGCCAGCAGCCGCGGUAAUACGAAGGAUGCAAGCGUUAUCCGGAAUUAUUGGGUUUACAGGGUGCGUAGGCGGACUAAUAAGUCAGUGGUGAAAGCCUGCAGCUUAACUGCAGAAUUGCCAUUGAUACUGUUAGUCUUGAGUACAGUUGAGGUAGGCGGAAUGUGUCAUGUAGCGGUGAAAUGCUUAGAUAUGACACAGAACACCGAUUGCGAAGGCAGCUUGCUAAGCUGUAACUGACGCUGAGGCACGAAAGCGUGGGGAGCAAACA